rnacentral:hammerhead_ribozyme from 1 species
CGCAGAUGACGAAUCCAAAACAGGACGAAACACGUGUCCUCGAU